AAAGCCACCCUACAGGGGGGAUGAGAACCACCGACCGGGGUUCGACAACCGGCGCAGCCAGUUGGACAGACGACGAGCUUGCGAGGAGACUGCCCGAAGGGCGAGCGCAGCGAGUCAAUCCCCCCCCCUCACCG
rnacentral:sRNA from 2 species